rnacentral:tRNA from 1 species
GCCGCGGUAGCUCAGCCUGGGAGAGCGUCCGACUCCCCACCGGAAUGCCGAGUGUUCAAAUCACUCCCGCGGCACCA